rnacentral:lncRNA from 1 species
GUAAGUUAAGGUGAAAAUGAUAGUGCUGAACCGUUAAUAAUUCUUAAAAGUUUACUUUAAAUAUCUUUUUUUUGAAAGGUAGAUAUAUUAAAAAUGAAUUAAGAAGUGUAGGUAAAAAAGUUUUUUUUUUUAUAGAAGUGUAGGUAAAAAAGUUAGUUGGGGAUUAGACAUUUACCUAAUUUUUUACUUUUCAGAUUCGGAAAAAAAAAUCAAUAUAUAUUAUAAAUAUACUAAAAUAAACAAGUUAGAUGGUUAGUAGGGUUGGUUAAAGUGUUAACCUUAUACCAACCCAACCAAGGUUUGAAUCCCUUGGCUGCAAAAUUUUAUUUUGCCAUGCAAAGUGCAAACCAGUCAAAGGCUCAAAGCCAAAGUCAAAAGUUUCGGCUGGUCUACAUUCACUACUAGAAGAAAAGCUUUAGCCGACGAAAAUAAAAAAACCAGGCCGACGAAUUAUUUUUUUUUCGGCUAACGUGGACUUUAGCCGACGAAAUUUUCUUUCGUCGGCUAAUUUAAAUUUUCGUCAGCGGACAAAAUUAAAAUUUCGUCGUCUGGAUAAUUUUUUUCGUCGGCUAUAGUCUGUGAACUUUAGCCGACGAAAUUUUUAAAAGUUUAGCCGACGAAAAAUAUAAUUUCGUCGGCUAAAGUGCCUUAUAUUUGCAGAUCUGGACAACAACUUAUCUGGGAAAAAAAAAAACUAUACGUAGAACCUUCAAACGCAAAAAAGUAGUAAAAUAAGAUAUGACCAGAAUGGUGAAAUACGUCUACGGUUGAAAAAUCACUGUAUUCUGGUAAAGUCUCGGUGCCGAUAGUUGCGGUCAAUGCAAUUUACCCUUAUUAUUCACUAUGCUGCAGAUUUGGCGUUUGGUGUCCGAUUGACUAUUGUGAUACCUUUCCGGAAGCGUAACGGCCCUACGAGUCAAACUCAUCGCUUUGCCAUGACAUAUGGGCCUUUUUGGUUUCCGAGUCCGUUUAGGGCUUCAAAAUGCAGUUUUCUUAUUUCCGAUUAGAGUUGACCGUUUCAAUCGAGCCCUUAACGUUGUCGAAUCCAGUUGAAUUUUUUACCAUAGACAUCUUUCGUCAUAAUGAUCAUAUCUGACGGUCGUAAUUUUGGUUUGUAAAUUUUAGUCAUCGGAAUCACAACGUGUCUACUAUUUACCGUUAUUAUUCCCUAUGAGGAGCCCUAUCGUCGGAAGGUAAAUGUCUCAAAAAUUUUAUAUGGGCAAUUGCGUCUCAUCUACGUGAGAGUUUUUCGUGUGGAAGGUUUGACCAAACUACGUAAUAUAGAGGGAGAUAUGAGCGUUUUCGUGUGAUAAGUGACGAUGGAUUAGGGUUGACUGUUUCGAUCGAGCCCUUAACGUUGUCGGAUCCAGUUAAAUUUUUUACCAUAGACAUCUUUCGUCAUAAUGAUCAUAUUUGAUGGUCGAAUUUUGGUUUGUGAAUUUUAGUCAUCGGAAUCAUAACAUGUCUACUAAUGUUGUAUAACUUGUUUAGUAGGUUAUACAACUUUGUGAACCAACUCUACAUAGGAAGAAGAAUUAUCAAAAAUCUCAUGAAAUAAGAUGUGUUCAGAAUGGUGAAAUACGGCUAUGGUUCAAAAAUCAUGUAAAUCGGGUAACGUCUCGGUGCCAAUAGUAGCGGUCAACCCUGUUUACAGUUAUUAUUCCCUAUAGGGAGCCCUAUCGUCAGAAGGUAAAUGUCUCAAAAUUUUUAUAUAGGCGGUUGCGUCUCAUCUACAUGAAAGUUUUUCGUGUGAAAGGUUUAACCAAACUACGUAAUAUAGAGGGAGAUAUGAGCGUUUUCGUAAAUUUAUAGGCUUUAGCCGACGAGAUAUUAAAAAAGUCGUCGGCUAAGGUCAAAAAAAUUUUGACAGUAAACCAAAUUUGGAGGAAAAUUUUCAAAGGACUUUAGCCGUCGAAAAUAUAUGAAAAGUCGUCUGCUAAAGUCGAAAAAUUUUCAAAAUUUUCAAAAUUUUCAACCAAAAUUUUUUGGCGGUCAACCAAAUUUUCAAAAGAGUUUAGCCAACGAAAAUAAAGAAUUUCGUCGGGUAAAGUUCUUUAUAUAGGAGUUUUACCGGAGGUGGAUGGUAAGAAGUCAGAAAAUCAGAAAAAUGCCGGAUUUUCUUCUCGGCCUAGCUCCGCCGUCAAGCCACUGGAGACCGCCACACUUGUCCCAAAAGCUUCGCCGUCGUCUCUACUUCAUUGUUGGACAGGUGGUGCAUCGAGUGGCGCCGCCGUGAGGGAUAAAUCGAGGUCGAUCCCUAAACCCUAAUUCGGCGUCGAUCGAAUUUCUCCUUUCUCAGGUCACCAUUUGGUGAGUUCUAUAUAUGGAUAAGUUGAGUUUGAUUAGUACUACAUUCCCCUAGAAUUUGGUAGCUCGAUUCGGUGUGUGUGAGGAGAAUCGAAUAUUUGAAGUUUUUAGGGUUUAAAAUUGGGGAUUUUUAUAUUUUGAUUCAAUUGACAUGUUUAGGCUUAGAAUUGGGCUUCGACUUCUUCUAGAAAGUUGUUCGAAAUGUUGGGAUGAAGAUUCUGUCAAAUUUUAGUGGUGAUUGGAGGUGGCCGAAAGUUUCCGCAGUUUUUUUUUCAAAAACCAGCAACUUUAGCCGACGAUAUUUAAAUACUUAAAUACUUUAGCCGACUAUAUUCGUCGGCUAUAGUAUUUUUUAAUUUUUUUUAUAAGGUUUAGCCGACGAAACAGACUAUAUUUCGUCGGCUAUAGUUAUUUUUUUAAUUUUUUUUAAGGUUUAGCCGACGAAUAUCUUAAUUGUUUCGUCAGCUGAAGUCUGGGAAAAAAACCGACGACAUGUUUUUCGUCGGCUAAACUGUGGGACUAUAGCCGACGACGUCUUCUUUUUUCGUCGGCUAAAGCCAUCACCGACGAUCUUUUCCCAACGAAAUCUUAGCCGACGAAUUAAGCUAACAGGCCGACGAAACUUUUUCGUCGGCUAAAGUGUUUGUCCUGGUAGUGGUUGCAUGGAAUCGGAAGCGGAAGCGGUUUUUUCAAAAUUCUUCUGGAAGCGGAAGCAUUUUGGAAACGUCGAAAUAAAAUAUAUUAUUUAUUAUUAUAUUAUACUCUUUAAUUUUUUUUGUAUAUGAAUGGAUUAAUUACUCAUAAUAAUAAUAACAGGUAAUGGUUAAACAUGACAAUUGUUCGUUUUUAACCCACAUCCAAAUGGAUCCAAAGCAAUAAAAAAUAUUUCAAGUCAAAUCCUUGAAUAUAUCAUGUUUUGAACGGCAUAAAUCCUGUAACCAACUGUGAACCAACUGUGAAGUCUAUCCCAUUCCCAGCGAACAACAAAACCACUUAAACAACCCCAAUAUAUUCAAUCAAAAUACUGUGAAAUGAAACUCACAGCCAAAGCAUCGGUUCCACCCAAAUAGGUACUGCCCAGCUAACCCAACCCCUUGAUCUGCACCACCCAAGAGCGACGGUGGCGGCGACGAGAUUGGAGACCAACGACGGCGAGAGGGAAGACGACAGCGAACACAACCAUGAGAGCCAUCAUAGAAGCUUUUGAUGGGGCCAUUGUGUUUACAGAUUUUGAGAUUUGUGAUUUGGUUUUUGAUUUGCAGAGCUUGUGUUUCCUAUAGGUCGGAAGCUCGCGCUUCCAGAUUGGAAGCUCACGCUUCCCGCACGCUCCCAAUUCUAUUUUUUCCGGAAGCGCGCUUCCAUGAAGCUUCCGCUUCGCUUCCUGUUCCGAAGCGCGAAGCGUAGGACUGCCGGCGCUUCCGUGCUACGUAGAUUUUAACAGUUUCGGCCGAGUUUCGAAAAUAUCGAUAUUUUCAAAAAAUAUAUCGCGAAAUAUCGAUUUUUUGGCCCAAAAAUUUUGGGGUGAGAAAAAAAUUUCAUUACGUGAAAAAAAACGAUAUUUUCGACAAAAUAUCGCCGAAAAUAUUGAUUUUUUCUUCCUUGCAUUUAGUUGAUGUAUACAAGAGUCAGCCAAGUUUACGGAAGAUUAGAAGUGAGAUAGAUCACAAGGGCUCAUCUUUUUGUCUUUAUAUUUGUUUUAUUAUUUGUAAACGUUUUAUUUUCUUUAUUUCUGGAAAAAUAUUUGAAUUUGUUUUAUUUUCUUUUACUUUUCCCGCUCACACCUCGGGUUCAGUGUUAGAUGUUUGGAAACCACCGACACCGGGUCCGGAGUGUGACAUUAAUGCUGGUUUUAUUUUAUACCAACAUCCUAAUCUGCCUAAUGCCGGUGUACGUCUCAUGUCAAAAGGCUGCUAAACUGAUGCGACAUGUCGAUCCAGAGACUUCUAAGCUAGCUUAGUACUUAUGAGCCGAAUGAUUGCAACGGCAUGAUGAGGAACCUUACUCCAAACCCUAAUGUGACCUCAGACGUUGAGUUUAAGGCAAAUUGGGAGCCCUAGUUAGUAGUUACCCUACUCAAAGCUAUUCUCAUGUUUCAGUAAGAUGAGUUGCUUCUCAUCACGUCCAGCUGAACCAUAGUGCAGUUGAUAGUGAACAGUUAGUCAUUUAGAGAACAACAACUAUACAAACUAGCUAAGUUUGACAACCUUUAGAGCAUCUUUAGCAAUGCUAGUCAUUUUUGAGUUAAAUUUUAGUCAAAUUAACUAAAAUGUCAUUUUAGCUAGCCACUUUAGAAACGCAGCUGCAUCAAUGUUCUCUAUAUUAGCUAACAUUACAUCAACAUUAUUCUUCAAAUAAAG